AGAUCUUCCAUGAGUAAAAAU
rnacentral:miRNA from 1 species